GACGAACGCUGGCGGCGUGCUUAACACAUGCAAGUCGAACGGAAAGGCCCUGCUUUUGUGGGGUGCUCGAGUGGCGAACGGGUGAGUAACACGUGAGUAACCUGCCCUUGACUUUGGGAUAACUUCAGGAAACUGGGGCUAAUACCGGAUAGGAGCUCCUGCUGCAUGGUGGGGGUUGGAAAGUUUCGGCGGUUGGGGAUGGACUCGCGGCUUAUCAGCUUGUUGGUGGGGUAGUGGCUUACCAAGGCUUUGACGGGUAGCCGGCCUGAGAGGGUGACCGGCCACAUUGGGACUGAGAUACGGCCCAGACUCCUACGGGAGGCAGCAGUGGGGAAUAUUGCACAAUGGGCGGAAGCCUGAUGCAGCAACGCCGCGUGCGGGAUGACGGCCUUCGGGGUGUAAACCGAUUUCGCCUGUGACGAAGCGUGAGUGACGGUAAUGGGUAAAGAAGCACCGGCUAACUACGUG
rnacentral:rRNA from 1 species